AUUGAACGCUGGCGGCAUGCCUUACACAUGCAAGUCGAACGGUAACGCGGGGCAACCUGGCGACGAGUGGCGAACGGGUGAGUAAUGCAUCGGAACGUGCCCAGUAGUGGGGGAUAGCCCGGCGAAAGCCGGAUUGAUACCGCAUACGACCUACGGGUGAGAGCGGGGGACCGUAAGGCCUCGCGCUAUUGGAGCGGCCGGUGGCAGAUUAGGUUGUUGGUGGGGUAAAAGCCUACCAAGCCGACGAUCUGUAGCUGGUCUGAGAGGACGACCAGCCACACUGGGACUGAGACACGGCCCAGACUCCUACGGGAGGCAGCAGUGGGGAAUUUUGGACAAUGGGGGCAACCCUGAUCCAGCCAUGCCGCGUGCGGGAAGAAGGCCUUCGGGUUGUAAACCGCUUUUGUCAGGGAAGAAACGCUCUGGGCUAAUACCCCGGGGUAAUGACGGUACCUGAAGAAUAAGCACCGGCUAACUACGUGCCAGCCGCCGCAGUAACAC
rnacentral:rRNA from 1 species